CAGCAGUAGGGAUCUUCCGCAAUGGACGAAAGUCUGACGGAGCAACGCCGCGUGAGUGAUGAAGGUUUUCGGAUCGUAAAACUCUGUUAUUAGGGAAGAACAAAUGCGUAAGUAACUGUGCGCAUCUUGACGGUACCUAAUCAGAAAGCCACGGCUAACUACGUGCCAGCAGCCGCGGUAAUACGUAGGUGGCAAGCGUUAUCCGGAAUUAUUGGGCGUAAAGCGCGCGUAGGCGGUUUCUUAAGUCUGAUGUGAAAGCCCACGGCUCAACCGUGGAGGGUCAUUGGAAACUGGGAAACUUGAGUACAGAAGAGGAAAGUGGAAUUCCAUGUGUAGCGGUGAAAUGCGCAGAGAUAUGGAGGAACACCAGUGGCGAAGGCGACUUUCUGGUCUGUAACUGACGCUGAUGUGCGAAAGCGUGGGGAUCAAACAGGAUUAGAUACCCUGGUAGUCCACGCCGUAAACGAUGAGUGCUAAGUGUUAGGGGGUUUCCGCCCCUUAGUGCUGCAGCUAACGCAUUAAGCACUCCGCCUGGGGAGUACGACCGCAAGGUUGAAACUCAAAGGAAUUGACGGGGCCCCU
rnacentral:rRNA from 1 species